rnacentral:tmRNA from 1 species
AGAUGUCACUCAAAAGCUCUUGUUCCGAAGCGUUUGAUAAAGUGGCACAGUAAAAUCGGGAAUAGUUUGAGUUUUUCCUCGUAACUCUUACGAAAUUUUAGAGGAUAAGGCAUAAGUUGGUGGCUUUGGUCUUGCUUAUGUUCGAAAAUUUUAGGCAAAGAUAAGCAUGUAGAAAGCUUAUGAUUUCCUCGUUUGGACGAGGGUUCGAUUCCCUCCAGCUCCACGG